rnacentral:rRNA from 1 species
UGCAUAACCCCAAAAGCGGAGGAAAAGAAACUAACAAGGAUUCCCCUAGUAACUGCGAGUGAAGCGGGAAAAGCUCAAAUUUGAAAUCUGGUGGUCUUUGGCCAUCCGAGUUGUAAACUAGAGAAGUGCUAUCCGCGCUGGACCGUGUACAAGUCCCCUGGAAUGGGGCGUCAUAGAGGGUGAGAAUCCCGUCUUUGACACGGACUACCAGGGCUUUGUGAUAUGCUCUCAAAGAGUCGAGUUGUUUGGGAAUGCAGCUCAAAAUGGGUGGUAAAUUCCAUCUAAAGCUAAAUAUUGGCGAGAGACCGAUAGCGAACAAGUACCGUGAGGGAAAGAUGAAAAGAACUUUGGAAAGAGAGUUAAACAGUACGUGAAAUUGUUGAAAGGGAAACACUUGAAGUCAGUCGCGUCGGCUAGGGAUCAACCUUACUUUUUUGUGGGGUGCACUUCCUGGUUGAUGGGUCAACAUCAAUUUUGGUCGCUGGAUAAAGGUUAGGGAAAUGUGGCAUCCUCGGAUGUGUUAUAGUCCUUGAUCAGAUACAGCGGCUGGGAUUGAGGCUCUCAGCACGCCGAAAGGCCGGGGGUUUUUACCUCACGUUCGUGCUUAGGAUGUUGGCAAAAUGGCUUUAAUCGACCCGUCUUGAAACACGGACCAAGGAAGUCA